UUAAUUAAUGUUAUUAAUAAUUAUUUUAAAACUUUACUAAUACAAUCAAUUAUAUCGAUCGAGUUAAAAUAUGUUACACAUAAUAUAUACGUAUCAUGAUAUUAAGGCUGUUCACCACCUAUUACUCAUAACGUAUGCGACUUCAGCGACAAGUAUGCAUAAAAUAUAAACUACAAACGUAUUAGGGAAACUAAUUCACUCACUAUGCGCCUAUUAUAUCGAUAUAUAAGCUUAUAGAAGUUAAACCCCUUUCAUGCAUAACCUAACAAUAGCAUUAGUAUGUGAGAAAAUUUUUAUAUACAGUUCAAUUAGUAGUAUAUCUGAUAAAAUUAAAUUUAUACAAAUAGUUAAAGAGAGAAAAUCACUGAUGAAUAUCUUGAAUUUUGUAAUAUGUGAUUAUGAUGACGAAGAUAAGUAUAUAAAAUAGAAAAUUAUAAUAUUUAAUCUGAAAAACGUAAAUAAAAAUAAAUAAAAA